rnacentral:rRNA from 1 species
CCUACGGGUGGCAGCAGUGAGGAAUAUUGGUCAAUGGCCGAGAGGCUGAACCAGCCAAGUCGCGUGAGGGAAGACGGCCCUACGGGUUGUAAACCUCUUUUGUCGGGGAGCAAAGCGAGUCACGUGUGACUCAUUGAGAGUACCCGAAGAAAAAGCAUCGGCUAACUCCGUGCCAGCAGCCGCGGUAAUACGGAGGAUGCGAGCGUUAUCCGGAUUUAUUGGGUUUAAAGGGUGCGCAGGCGGAGGUGCAAGUCAGCGGUCAAAUUGCGGGGCUCAACUUCGGAAUUGCCUCUGAUACUGUUCGGCUAGAGAGUAGUUGCGGUAGGCGGAAUGUAUGGUGUAGCGGUGAAAUGCUUAGAGAUCAUACAGAACACCGAUUGCGAAGGCAGCUUACCAAGCUACUUCUGACGUUGAGGCACGAAAGCGUGGGGAGCAAACAGGAUUAGAUACCCGGGUAGUC